rnacentral:rRNA from 1 species
UUUUCAUCAGACAAUCUGUGUGAGCACUGCAAAGUACGCUUCUUUAAGGUAAGGAGGUGAUCCAACCGCAGGUUCCCCUACGGUUACCUUGUUACGACUUCACCCCAGUCAUGAAUCACAAAGUGGUAAGCGCCCUCCCGAAGGUUAAGCUACCUACUUCUUUUGCAACCCACUCCCAUGGUGUGACGGGCGGUGUGUACAAGGCCCGGGAACGUAUUCACCGUGGCAUUCUGAUCCACGAUUACUAGCGAUUCCGACUUCAUGGAGUCGAGUUGCAGACUCCAAUCCGGACUACGACGCACUUUAUGAGGUCCGCUUGCUCUCGCGAGGUCGCUUCUCUUUGUAUGCGCCAUUGUAGCACGUGUGUAGCCCUGGUCGUAAGGGCCAUGAUGACUUGACGUCAUCCCCACCUUCCUCCAGUUUAUCACUGGCAGUCUCCUUUGAGUUCCCGGCCGGACCGCUGGCAACAAAGGAUAAGGGUUGCGCUCGUUGCGGGACUUAACCCAACAUUUCACAACACGAGCUGACGACAGCCAUGCAGCACCUGUCUCACGGUUCCCGAAGGCACAUUCUCAUCUCUGAAAACUUCCGUGGAUGUCAAGACCAGGUAAGGUUCUUCGCGUUGCAUCGAAUUAAACCACAUGCUCCACCGCUUGUGCGGGCCCCCGUCAACGUUAGCUCCGGAAGCCACGCCUCAAGGGCACAACCUCCAAGUAGACAUCGUUUACGGCGUGGACUACCAGGGUAUCUAAUCCUGUUUGCUCCCCACGCUUUCGCACCUGAGCGUCAGUCUUUGUCCAGGGGGCCGCCUUCGCCACCGGUAUUCCUCCAGAUCUCUACGCAUUUCACCGCUACNNNNNNNNNNNNNNNNNNNNCCCCCCUCUACAAGACUCAAGCCUGCCAGUUUCGAAUGCAGUUCCCAGGUUGAGCCCGGGGAUUUCACAUCCGACUUGACAGACCGCCUGCGUGCGCUUUACGCCCAGUAAUUCCGAUUAACGCUUGCACCCUCCGUAUUACCGCGGCUGCUGGCACGNNNNNNNNNNNNNNNNNNNNUCAAUUGCUGCGGUUAUUAACCACAACACCUUCCUCCCCGCUGAAAGUACUUUACAACCCGAAGGCCUUCUUCAUACACGCGGCAUGGCUGCAUCAGGCUUGCGCCCAUUGUGCAAUAUUCCCCACUGCUGCCUCCCGUAGGAGUCUGGACCGUGUCUCAGUUCCAGUGUGGCUGGUCAUCCUCUCAGACCAGCUAGGGAUCGUCGCCUUGGUGAGCCGUUACCUCACCAACAAGCUAAUCCCAUCUGGGCACAUCUGAUGGCAAGAGGCCCGAAGGUCCCCCUCUUUGGUCUUGCGACGUUAUGCGGUAUUAGCCACCGUUUCCAGUAGUUAUCCCCCUCCAUCAGGCAGUUUCCCAGACAUUNNNNNNNNNNNNNNNNNNNNCCCGUCCGCCACUCGUCAGCAAAGCAGCAAGCUGCUUCCUGUUACCGUUCGACUUGCAUGUGUUAGGCCUGCCGCCAGCGUUCAAUCUGAGCCAUGAUCAAACUCUUCAAUUUAAAAGUUUGAUGCUCAAUGAAUUAAACUUCGUAAUGAAUUACGUGUUCACUCUUGAGACUU